GAAACUGGCGGCGUGCUAUACAUGCAAGUCGAGCGGACUUGAUGGAGAGCUUGCUCUCCUGAUGGUUAGCGGCGGACGGGUGAGUAACACGUAGGCAACCUGCCUGCAAGACCGGGAUAACCCACGGAAACGUGAGCUAAUACCGGAUAUCUCAUUUCCUCUCCUGAGGGAAUGAUGAAAGACGGAGCAAUCUGUCACUUGCGGAUGGGCCUGCGGCGCAUUAGCUAGUUGGUGAGGUAACGGCUCACCAAGGCGACGAUGCGUAGCCGACCUGAGAGGGUGAACGGCCACACUGGGACUGAGACACGGCCCAGACUCCUACGGGAGGCAGCAGUAGGGAAUCUUCCGCAAUGGGCGAAAGCCUGACGGAGCAACGCCGCGUGAGUGAUGAAGGUUUUCGGAUCGUAAAGCUCUGUUGCCAGGGAAGAACGUCCGGUAGAGUAACUGCUAUCGGAGUGACGGUACCUGAGAAGAAAGCCCCGGCUAACUACGUGCCAGCAGCCGCGGUAAUACGUAGGGGGCAAGCGUUGUCCGGAAUUAUUGGGCGUAAAGCGCGCGCAGGCGGUCAUUUAAGUCUGGUGUUUAAGGCCAAGGCUCAACCUUGGUUCGCACUGGAAACUGGGUGACUUGAGUGCAGAAGAGGAGAGUGGAAUUCCACGUGUAGCGGUGAAAUGCGUAGAUAUGUGGAGGAACACCAGUGGCGAAGGCGACUCUCUGGGCUGUAACUGACGCUGAGGCGCGAAAGCGUGGGGAGCAACAGGAUUAGAUACCCUGGUAGUCCCGCCGUAACGAUGAAUGCUAGGUGGUAGGGGUUUCGAUACCCUUGGGUGCCAAGUAACACAUUAAGCAUCCCGCCUGGGGAUACGGUCGCAAACUGAACUCCAAGGAUUGACGGGACCCGCCAAGCAGUGGAGUUGGGGUUAUUCG
rnacentral:rRNA from 1 species